CAGGUCCUGCGAGGCCCCAGUGAGGUCACCCCAAAGCUUCUCCUCUCCAGGCUGGACAAUCCCAGCUCUCCCAGCCUUUCCUCCCAGCAGAGCUGCUCCAUCCCUCUGAUCAAUUUGGUGGCCUUCUCUGGAAUUGCUCUGUCAGGUGGAUG